UCAAAGGGCAUGUCUACAUACAUCAAACAGCUGAUGCCUUUCGCAGUUGAACACGAUGAGAAGAUUUUCUUGGCGUUUGCCCAGGCACAAACAAGGUGCGGUGUACAGUGUUGAGUGUUUCCUCAACCCCCUGUUACGAUGCAAUGUAGAGCUGACACACAAACGAAAAACAUAGUUUUUUUUUUUUGGCCAUCUGUUGGUGCGUGAGCGUGUACAUUAUCGUAGAAAGAGCUUUUCCUGUAUCAUUAUUUGAGCAGCGCAGCGCCUUAUGUAUCGAUCGAUUUUUGCCCAACAGGCAGAGUUUUGCGUUAAUGAGUCGUUAUCUGCAUUGAUGUGUC
rnacentral:sRNA from 1 species